rnacentral:snoRNA from 1 species
CUCGAACAGUUUGAGUUGAUUCGCUCGCCGUGAAGAGCUGAGUCAAAUUACUGUUCGGAAAUUGAAGAGAAGGCCACUCGUCGUAGUGUUUUCUAACAUCUAGAAUUCACAAGUCGUGGUCUUCCCACAGUU